UUAAUUGAAGCCAAAAUUUAGAGGCAUCUUAUUGUUAAUAAGAAAAUUGUUUUUCCAAUUAAA
rnacentral:tRNA from 2 species